rnacentral:sRNA from 1 species
GGCACAUGGAUGGCCGCUGGCGGCGGCGAAAGUGGGUGUUCUGGCACGUACGGGUAACGGCCGUGACGGGUAACUUACACGGUACCAGGUGAGGCUCUGCGAUUGAUAUGAUGUGAUAAUCACGAUGUCAACAAAGUUAGUUGCUUGGAUCUGUGAACGCAGAGACUCAACGACGGAUUUUACUUUGAGGGUUUGAGAGCGGCCCACCGAUGCUGCAUUCCCACUCCUCACCCUCAAUUCGCUGCACUCCGCGGUCUACUUAACAUGCCUUCACGAAACCAGCCAGCGGCCUCAGCCUCUCAGUUAGACUAUCUCCCUAAUACGAAGCAAGGCCUUACACUGUACAGUGCAUAAGCUCAAGCUCCCUGGCACCGCCAACUUCUUUCAACGGUCGGCAUGUCUACAUCGGAAAAAGCUAUCCCUACCUAUACCUAUUUUUACACAUUCCAUCCCUCGAAUCUGGGGGAGAGCAAAAGCCACACCACAAUUAGAUGAUAUUGUGAUAAGAGGGCUCGGAUGAAUUUGUGCUAUGCGAGUUUACGAGCUGACCCUGUCACGAUGAAACAACUAAAUAUAUAAUCUAUCAUUAUCCUCGGCUUGAAGAUACCAAGAAAAGCGCUGUCAUGGUGUAGCUUGCAAACGAAACAUACUCCAGGGAAGCAGGUCGCACCACACUUGAGCUGGGUAUCGUCGGCAUCGGAGGAUGAAGCCCCAGAGUCUCAUCGUUUCUAGACAGGGCAUGGGGAUGUGGGUUCAAAAUUGGAUAGUUAAACAUGGUUCGGACCAGAACCGUACAUGAUUUCAAUUCCCGGGUUGCAAAACAAAACAAAACAAAAAAAAAAAAAAAAAAAAAAAACUUAAGAAGCUAGGAGAAUCCUACACUCUGGUUGCUUUCAAUCAUUCCAAGGCUGACCGAAACUCGGACUGUGUUGCCUGUCUUUGCUCUCGUAAAAACUCCUGUUUGACGUUUGCGGUGCUGCGGAUUGAUCGUCCCUGCAGCCACAUUGGAAAGCUUAUUCUGAUGAGUGAAGUGGAACGAGAAACGAAAAAGGAAAUAACUCUGGCUGCUGCUAUUCGUGGUCAUAGGUGUUCACAUAAUGAAUGGCGAUUCGUACGAUGCGAUUUAUUCAUUUAACUACAAAUCCAGACCUGGAGACUCAAAGGGGGUUUGGGUCUGGGAUUUUAAAAAUGUACGCACAAUAAAGGUAUAUACAAAAACAAAAGUCGCAAACUAUUCGCAAACUUUAGAAAGACUAACCGUACCUCCUGAAGGUAAAACGCACAAACAUCUCCCCACAUGAUAUCAAAAUAGAAAUGAGGCGCAGUUCAGGGUAUUAAAUUAAGUAGCAAAAUUGCAAAAGAAAGGGGCAUGAGACGAGUAGGACAGCAUUAAAAUUGAAAAAAAGAGAGAAAAAACGAUAACCAAAAGGAUCUUCGUGAUCAUCAUGAGCGCUAAACAUUGCUCACAAAUACUAGGUAGAAAAUGAAAUAUGUCGCUGAAAUGGCCAAAGGUAGUCGAUUGGAGGGGGGAUCUACACGCUCCAGGGCAAGGAAAAUCCAAAAUGAGAUAAAGUAGCUAAAUAGGAAGAGGAAAAAGUCUGAAAAUAGGCACGCGGUAAAAUCUUUCAAAUUUCAAAUUUGAGACACGCAAAAAAAAAAAAAAAGUUGAUAGCAAUCGUCCCUCGAACAGCCUGGCGAAGGAAGUAGCGUAGGACAAACCAAUCGUAAAUCGGAAAUACGUA